rnacentral:rRNA from 1 species
AUGAACGCUGGCGGCGUGCCUAACACAUGCAAGUCGAACGAAGCACCUUUUGAGAUUCUUCGGAUGAUCGAUCGGUGACUGAGUGGCGGACGGGUGAGUAACGCGUGGGUAACCUGCCCUGUACAGGGGGAUAACAGCUGGAAACGGCUGCUAAUACCGCAUAAGCGCACGAGGAGACAUCUCCUAGUGUGAAAAACUCCGGUGGUACAGGAUGGGCCCGCGUCUGAUUAGCUGGUUGGCAGGGUAACGGCCUACCAAGGCAACGAUCAGUAGCCGGUCUGAGAGGAUGAACGGCCACAUUGGAACUGAGACACGGUCCAAACUCCUACGGGAGGCAGCAGUGGGGAAUAUUGCACAAUGGGGGAAACCCUGAUGCAGCAACGCCGCGUGAGUGAAGAAGUAUUUCGGUAUGUAAAGCUCUAUCAGCAGGGAAGAUAAUGACGGUACCUGACUAAGAAGCUCCGGCUAAAUACGUGCCAGCAGCCGCGGUAAUACGUAUGGAGCAAGCGUUAUCCGGAUUUACUGGGUGUAAAGGGUGCGUAGGUGGCAGUGCAAGUCAGAUGUGAAAGGCCGGGGCUCAACCCCGGAGCUGCAUUUGAAACUGCUCGGCUAGAGUACAGGAGAGGCAGGCGGAAUUCCUAGUGUAGCGGUGAAAUGCGUAGAUAUUAGGAGGAACACCAGUGGCGAAGGCGGCCUGCUGGACUGUUACU